UAUCUACAGGCUUAACACAUGCAAGUCGAGGGGCAGCAUGGUCUUAGCUUGCUAAGGCCGAUGGCGACCGGCGCACGGGUGAGUAACACGUAUCCAACCUGCCGUCUACUCUUGGACAGCCUUCUGAAAGGAAGAUUAAUACAAGAUGGCAUCAUGAGUCCGCAUGUUCACAUGAUUAAAGGUAUUCCGGUAGACGAUGGGGAUGCGUUCCAUUAGAUAGUAGGCGGGGUAACGGCCCACCUAGUCUUCGAUGGAUAGGGGUUCUGAGAGGAAGGUCCCCCACAUUGGAACUGAGACACGGUCCAAACUCCUACGGGAGGCAGCAGUGAGGAAUAUUGGUCAAUGGGCGAGAGCCUGAACCAGCCAAGUAGCGUGAAGGAUGACUGCCCUAUGGGUUGUAAACUUCUUUUAUAAAGGAAUAAAGUCGGGUAUGGAUACCCGUUUGCAUGUACUUUAUGAAUAAGGAUCGGCUAACUCCGUGCCAGCAGCCGCGGUAAUACGGAGGAUCCGAGCGUUAUCCGGAUUUAUUGGGUUUAAAGGGAGCGUAGAUGGAUGUUUAAGUCAGUUGUGAAAGUUUGCGGCUCAACCGUAAAAUUGCAGUUGAUACUGGAUAUCUUGAGUGCAGUUGAGGCAGGCGGAAUUCGUGGUGUAGCGGUGAAAUGCUUAGAUAUCACGAAGAACUCCGAUUGCGAAGGCAGCCUGCUAAGCUGCAACUGACAUUGAGGCUCGAAAGUGUGGGUAUCAAACAGGAUUAGAUACCCUGGUAGUCCACACGGUAAACGAUGAAUACUCGCUGUUUGCGAUAUACUGCAAGCGGCCAAGCGAAAGCGUUAAGUAUUCCACCUGGGGAGUACGCCGGCAACGGUGAAACUCAAAGGAAUUGACGGGGGCCCGCACAAGCGGAGGAACAUGUGGUUUAAUUCGAUGAUACGCGAGGAACCUUACCCGGGCUUAAAUUGCAGAUGAAUUACGGUGAAAGCCGUAAGCCGCAAGGCAUCUGUGAAGGUGCUGCAUGGUUGUCGUCAGCUCGUGCCGUGAGGUGUCGGCUUAAGUGCCAUAACGAGCGCAACCCUUGUUGUCAGUUACUAACAGGUUCCGCUGAGGACUCUGACAAGACUGCCAUCGUAAGAUGUGAGGAAGGUGGGGAUGACGUCAAAUCAGCACGGCCCUUACGUCCGGGGCUACACACGUGUUACAAUGGGGGGUACAGAGGGCCGCUACCACGCGAGUGGAUGCCAAUCCCCAAAACCUCUCUCAGUUCGGACUGGAGUCUGCAACCCGACUCCACGAAGCUGGAUUCGCUAGUAAUCGCGCAUCAGCCACGGCGCGGUGAAUACGUUCCCGGGCCUUGUACACACCGCCCGUCAAGCCAUGGGAGCCGGGGGUACCUGAAGUGCGUAACCGCGAGGAGCGCCCUAGGGUAAAACUGGUGACUG
rnacentral:rRNA from 1 species